UGAGGAAUAUUGGACAAUGGGCGCAAGCCUGAUCCAGCCAUGCCGCGUGCAGGAUGACGGUCCUAUGGAUUGUAAACUGCUUUUGUACAGGAAGAAACACUGGUUCGUGAACCAGCUUGACGGUACUGUAAGAAUAAGGAUCGGCUAACUCCGUGCCAGCAGCCGCGGUAAUACGGAGGAUCCAAGCGUUAUCCGGAAUCAUUGGGUUUAAAGGGUCCGUAGGCGGUUUAGUAAGUCAGUGGUGAAAGCCCAUCGCUCAACGGUGGAACGGCCAUUGAUACUGCUGAACUUGAAUUAUUAGGAAGUAACUAGAAUAUGUAGUGUAGCGGUGAAAUGCUUAGAGAUUACAUGGAAUACCAAUUGCGAAGGCAGGUUACUACUAAUGGAUUGACGCUGAUGGACGAAAGCGUGGGUAGCGAACAGGAUUAGAUACCCUGGUAGUCCACGCCGUAAACGAUGGAUACUAGCUGUUGGAAGCAAUUUCAGUGGCUAAGCGAAAGUGAUAAGUA
rnacentral:rRNA from 1 species